AGCUGACAGCCAGUAGCGUGCAGGAUGACGGCCCUAUGGGUUGUAAACUGCUUUUAUGUGGGGAUAAAGUGAGCUACGUGUAGUUUAUUGCAGGUACCACAUGAAUAAGGACCGGCUAAUUCCGUGCCAGCAGCCGCGGUAAUACGGAAGGUCCAGGCGUUAUCCGGAUUUAUUGGGUUUAAAGGGAGCGUAGGCCGUGGAUUAAGCGUGUUGUGAAAUGUAGACGCUCAACGUCUGAAUUGCAGCGCGAACUGGUUCACUUGAGUAUGCACAACGUAGGCGGAAUUCGUCGUGUAGCGGUGAAAUGCUUAGAUAUGACGAAGAACUCCGAUUGCGAAGGCAGCUUACGGGAGCACAACUGACGCUGAAGCUCGAAGGUGCGGGUAUCAAACA
rnacentral:rRNA from 1 species